rnacentral:tRNA from 9 species
GGGUCGUUAGCUCAGUUGGUAGAGCAGUUGACUUUUAAUCAAUUGGUCGCAGGUUCGAACCCUGCACGACCCACCA